rnacentral:rRNA from 1 species
CGCUGGCGGCGUGCCUAACACAUGCAAGUCGAGCGAGGAGAUCCUUCGGGAUGAUCCUAGCGGCGGACGGGUGAGUAACACGUGGGCAACCUGCCUCAUAGAGAGGAAUAGCCUUCCGAAAGGGAGAUUAAUACCUCAUAACAUUGCAGUUUCGCAUGGAACAGCAAUUAAAGGAGCAAUCCACUAUGAGAUGGGCCCGCGGCGCAUUAGCUAGUUGGUGAGGUAACGGCUCACCAAGGCGACGAUGCGUAGCCGACCUGAGAGGGUGAUCGGCCACAUUGGGACUGAGACACGGCCCAGACUCCUACGGGAAGCAGCAGUGGGGAAUAUUGCACAAUGGGGGAAACCCUGAUGCCAGCAACGCCGCGUGAGUGAUGACGGCCUUCGGGUUGUAAAGCUCUGUCUUCAGGGACGAUAAUGACGGUACCUGAGGAGGAAGCCACGGCUAACUACGUGCCAGCCGCCGC